CCAUGCAGUCGAACGGCAGCAUAGGAGCUUGCUCCUGAUGGCGAGUGGCGAACGGGUGAGUAAUAUAUCGGAACGUGCCCUAGAGUGGGGGAUAACUAGUCGAAAGACUAGCUAAUACCGCAUACGAUCUACGGAUGAAAGUGGGGGAUCGCAAGACCUCAUGCUCCUGGAGCGGCCGAUAUCUGAUUAGCUAGUUGGUGGGGUAAAAGCCUACCAAGGCAACGAUCAGUAGCUGGUCUGAGAGGACGACCAGCCACACUGGGACUGAGACACGGCCCAGACUCCUACGGGAGGCAGCAGUGGGGAAUUUUGGACAAUGGGGGCAACCCUGAUCCAGCAAUGCCGCGUGAGUGAAGAAGGCCUUCGGGUUGUAAAGCUCUUUUGUCAGGGAAGAAACGGUAGUAGCGAAUAACUAUUACUAAUGACGGUACCUGAAGAAUAAGCACCGGCUAACUACGUGCCAGCAGCCGCGGUAAUACGUAGGGUGCAAGCGUUAAUCGGAAUUACUGGGCGUAAAGCGUGCGCAGGCGGUUGUGUAAGUCAGAUGUGAAAUCCCCGGGCUCAACCUGGGAAUUGCAUUUGAGACUGCACGGCUAGAGUGUGUCAGAGGGGGGUAGAAUUCCACGUGUAGCAGUGAAAUGCGUAGAUAUGUGGAGGAAUACCGAUGGCGAAGGCAGCCCCCUGGGAUAACACUGACGCUC
rnacentral:rRNA from 1 species